AGUGAACGCUGGCGGUAGGCCUAACACAUGCAAGUCGAACGGCAGCACAGUAAGAGCUUGCUCUUACGGGUGGCGAGUGGCGGACGGGUGAGGAAUACAUCGGAAUCUACUUUUUCGUGGGGGAUAACGUAGGGAAACUUACGCUAAUACCGCAUACGACCUACGGGUGAAAGCAGGGGGUCUUCGGACCUUGCGCGAUUGAAUGAGCCGAUGUCGGAUUAGCUAGUUGGCGGGGUAAAGGCCCACCAAGGCGACGAUCCGUAGCUGGUCUGAGAGGAUGAUCAGCCACACUGGAACUGAGACACGGUCCAGACUCCUAUGGGAGGCAGCAGUGGGGAAUAUUGGACAAUGGGCGCAAGCCUGAUCCAGCCAUACCGCGUGGGUGAAGAAGGCCUUCGGGUUGUAAAGCCCUUUUGUUGGGAAAGAAAAGCAGCAGGUUAAUACCCCGCUGUUCUGACGGUACCCAAAGAAUAAGCACCGGCUAACUUCGUG
rnacentral:rRNA from 1 species